AGAGUUUGAUCCUGGCUCAGAUUGAACGCUGGCGGCAGGCCUAAUACAUGCAAGUCGAGCGGAUGAGAGGAGCUUGCUCCUUGAUUUAGCGGCGGACGGGUGAGUAAUGCCUAGGAAUCUGCCUGGUAGUGGGGGAUAACGUCCGGAAACGGGCGCUAAUACCGCAUACGUCCUACGGGAGAAAGCAGGGGACCUUCGGGCCUUGCGCUAUCAGAUGAGCCUAGGUCGGAUUAGCUAGUUGGUGAGGUAAUGGCUCACCAAGGCGACGAUCCGUAACUGGUCUGAGAGGAUGAUCAGUCACACUGGAACUGAGACACGGUCCAGACUCCUACGGGAGGCAGCAGUGGGGAAUAUUGGACAAUGGGCGAAAGCCUGAUCCAGCCAUGCCGCGUGUGUGAAGAAGGUCU
rnacentral:rRNA from 1 species